rnacentral:rRNA from 1 species
UACGGGGGGGCAAGCGUUUUUCGGAAUUACUGGGCGUAAAGGGCUCGUAGGUGGCCAACUAAGUCAUACGUGAAAUCCCUCGGCUUAACCGGGGAACUGCGCCUGAUACUGGUUGGCUUGAGUUUGGGAGAGGGACGCGGAAUUCCAGGUGUAGCGGUGAAAUGCGUAGAUAUCUGGAGGAACACCGGUGGCGAAGGCGGCGUCCUGGACCAAUACUGACACUGAGGAGCGAAAGCCAGGGGAGCAAACGGG